rnacentral:rRNA from 1 species
CGAAAGUCUGACGGAGCAACGCCGCGUGAGUGAUGAAGGCUUUCGGGUCGUAAAACUCUGUUGUUAGGGAAGAACAAGUGCUAGUUGAAUAAGCUGGCACCUUGACGGUACCUAACCAGAAAGCCACGGCUAACUACGUGCCAGCAGCCGCGGUAAUACGUAGGUGGCAAGCGUUAUCCGGAAUUAUUGGGCGUAAAGCGCGCGCAGGUGGUUUCUUAAGUCUGAUGUGAAAGCCCACGGCUCAACCGUGGAGGGUCAUUGGAAACUGGGAGACUUGAGUGCAGAAGAGGAAAGUGGAAUUCCAUGUGUAGCGGUGAAAUGCGUAGAGAUAUGGAGGAACACCAGUGGCGAAGGCGACUUUCUGGUCUGUAACUGACACUGAGGCGCGAAAGCGUGGGGAGCAAACAG